AGUGGCCUAGUGGUGAAGGCGACUGCCUGGUUUGCCGGGGGACGUGGGUUCGA
rnacentral:tRNA from 1 species